rnacentral:tRNA from 1 species
GGGCCAGUGGCUAAGCCAGGUAUAGCGACAGUGUAUACAGAACUGCUCUGUGUACGUUGAAGCUCUUAACUUGUAGAUGCUGGGGUUUCCCCAGACUCGAGGAAUGGUCAGGGGUUCUUGGCUUUUGAUUUCCAAAGGCCAGCCCAAAAAUCCCCUCUGGCCCGCCA